rnacentral:rRNA from 1 species
GACGUAGGGCGCGAGCGUUGUCCGGAUUUAUUGGGCGUAAAGAGCUCGUAGGCGGCUUGUCGCGUCGACUGUGAAAACCCGCGGCUCAACUGUGGGCUGGCUUCCGAUACGGGCAGACUAGAGGUAUGCAGGGGAGAACGGAAUUCCUGGUGUAGCGGUGAAAUGCGCAGAUAUCAGGAGGAACACCGGUGGCGAAGGCGGUUCUCUGGGCAUUACCUGACGCUGAGGAGCGAAAGUGUGGGGAGCGAACAGG